rnacentral:rRNA from 1 species
UCAAGUGAAUAAGUGCAUCAGGUGGAUGCCUUGGCGAUGAUAGGCGAUGAAGGACGUGUAAGCCUGCGAAAAGCGUGGGGGAGCUGGCAAUAAAGCUAUGAUCCCGCGAUGUCCGAAUGGGGAAACCUACCUCUUAGGAGGUAUCCUUAUCUGAAUACAUAGGAUAAGCGAAGCGAACCCGGAGAACUGAACCAUCUAAGUACCCGGAGGAAAAGAAAUCAACCGAGAUUCCGCAAGUAGUGGCGAGCGAACGCGGAGGAGCCUGUACGUAAUAACUGUCGAGAUAGAAGAACAAGCUGGGAAGCUUGACCAUAGUGGGUGAUAGUCCCGUAUUCGAAAUCUCAAUAGUGGUACUAAGCGUACGAAAAGUAGGGCGGGACACGUGAAAUCCUGUCUGAAUAUGGGGGGACCAUCCUCCAAGGCUAAAUACUCAUCAUCGACCGAUAGUGAACCAGUACCGUGAGGGAAAGGCGAAAAGAACCCCGGGAGGGGAGUGAAAUAGAACCUGAAACCUGAUGCAUACAAACAGUGGGAGCACCCUUGUGGUGUGACUGCGUACCUUUUGUAUAAUGGGUCAACGACUUACAUUCAGUAGCGAGCUUAACCGAAUAGGGGAGGCGUAGGGAAACCGAGUCUUAAUAGGGCGAACAGUUGCUGGGUGUAGACCCGAAACCGAGUGAUCUAUCCAUGGCCAGGUUGAAGGUGCCGUAACAGGUACUGGAGGACCGAACCCACGCAUGUUGCAAAAUGCGGGGAUGAGCUGUGGAUAGGGGUGAAAGGCUAAACAAACUCGGAGAUAGCUGGUUCUCCCCGAAAACUAUUUAGGUAGUGCCUCGAGCAAGACACUGAUGGGGGUAAAGCACUGUUAUGGCUAGGGGGUUAUUGCAACUUACCAACCCAUGGCAAACUAAGAAUACCAUCAAGUGGUUCCUCGGGAGACAGACAGCGGGUGCUAACGUCCGUUGUCAAGAGGGAAACAACCCAGACCGCCAGCUAAGGUCCCAAAUGAUAGAUUAAGUGGUAAACGAAGUGGGAAGGCCCAGACAGCCAGGAUGUUGGCUUAGAAGCAGCCAUCAUUUAAAGAAAGCGUAAUAGCUCACUGGUCGAGUCGUCCUGCGCGGAAGAUGUAACGGGGCUCAAAUCUAUAACCGAAGCUGCGGAUGCCAGUUUACUGGCAUGGUAGGGGAGCGUUCUGUAGGCUGAUGAAGGUGCAUUGUAAAGUGUGCUGGAGGUAUCAGAAGUGCGAAUGUUGACAUGAGUAGCGAUAAAGCGGGUGAAAAGCCCGCUCGCCGAAAGCCCAAGGUUUCCUACGCAACGUUCAUCGGCGUAGGGUGAGUCGGCCCCUAAGGCGAGGCAGAAAUGCGUAGUCGAUGGGAAACAGGUUAAUAUUCCUGUACUUGAUUCAAAUGCGAUGUGGGGACGGAGAAGGUUAGGUUAGCAAGCUGUUGGAAUAGCUUGUUUAAGCCGGUAGGUGGAAGACUUAGGCAAAUCCGGGUCUUCUUAACACCGAGAAGUGAUGACGAGUGUCUACGGACAUGAAGUAACCGAUACCACGCUUCCAGGAAAAGCCACUAAGCUUCAGUUUGAAUUGAACCGUACCGCAAACCGACACAGGUGGGCAGGAUGAGAAUUCUAAGGCGCUUGAGAGAACUCAGGAGAAGGAACUCGGCAAAUUGAUACCGUAACUUCGGGAGAAGGUAUGCCCUCUAAGGUUAAGGACUUGCUCCGUAAGCCCUGGAGGGUCGCAGAGAAUAGGUGGCUGCGACUGUUUAUUAAAAACACAGCACUCUGCUAACACGAAAGUGGACGUAUAGGGUGUGACGCCUGCCCGGUGCUGGAAGGUUAAUUGAAGAUGUGCAAGCAUCGGAUCGAAGCCCCAGUAAACGGCGGCCGUAACUAUAACGGUCCUAAGGUAGCGAAAUUCCUUGUCGGGUAAGUUCCGACCCGCACGAAAGGCGUAACGAUUUGGGCACUGUCUCAACGA